GUGGAUUAGAUACCCGGGUAGUCCACGCCGUAAACGAUGAGUACUAAGUGUUGGGACCAAGUCUCAGUGCUGCAGUUAACGCAUUAAGUACUCCGCCUGAGUAGUACGCACGCAAGUGUGAAACUCAAAGGAAUUGACGGGACCCCGCACAAGCGGUGGAUCAUGUUGUUUAAUUCGACGAUACACGAAAAACCUUACCAGGUCUUGACAUACCAUGCAAAGGCUUAGAAAUAAGUACAGAGGUUAACAUGGAUACAGGUGGUGCACGGCUGUCGUCAGCU
rnacentral:rRNA from 1 species